rnacentral:rRNA from 1 species
GAUGAACGCUGGCGGCGUGCCUAAUACAUGCAAGUCGAGCGAACAGACGAGGAGCUUGCUCCUCUGACGUUAGCGGCGGACGGGUGAGUAACACGUGGAUAACCUACCUAUAAGACUGGGAUAACUUCGGGAAACCGGAGCUAAUACCGGAUAAUAUAUUGAACCGCAUGGUUGAAUAGUGAAAGACGGUUUUGCUGGCACUUAUAGAUGGAUCCGCGCCGCAUUAGCUAGUUGGUAAGGUAACGGCUUACCAAGGCAACGAUGCGUAGCCGACCUGAGGGGGGGUUCGCCCACUCUGGACCUGAGCCGCGGUCCAGGGUCCUAGGGAAGGCACCGGUAGGUACGCUUCCGCACUGGGCGAAAGCCUGCCGGAGCAGCGCCGCGUGAGUGAUGAAGGUCUUCGGAUCGUAAAACUCUGUUAUUGGGGAAGACCAAAUGUGUAAGUAACUAUGCACGUCUUGCCGGUACCUAAUCAGAAAGCCCCGGCUAACUACGU